rnacentral:rRNA from 1 species
UGGGGAAUUUUGGACAAUGGGCGAAAGCCUGAUCCAGCAAUGCCGCGUGUGUGAAGAAGGCCUUCGGGUUGUAAAGCACUUUUGUCCGGAAAGAAAUCCUUGGCUCUAAUACAGUCGGGGGAUGACGGUACCGGAAGAAUAAGCACCGGGCUAACUACGUGCCAGCAGCCGCGGUAAUACGUAGGGUGCAAGCGUUAAUCGGAAUUACUGGGCGUAAAGCGUGCGCAGGCGGUUUGCUAAGACCGAUGUGAAAUCCCCGGGCUCAACCUGGGAACUGCAUUGGUGACUGGCAGGCUAGAGUAUGGCAGAGGGGGGUAGAAUUCCACGUGUAACAGUGAAAUGCGUAGAGAUGUGGAGGAAUACCGAUGGCGAAAGGCAGCCCCCUGGGCCAAAUACUGACGCUCAUGCACGAAAAGCGUGGGGAGCAAACAGGAUUAGAUACCCUGGGUAGUCCACGCCCUAAAACGAUGUCAACUAGUUGUUGGGGACUUCAUUUCCUUAGUAACGUAGCUAACGCGUGAAGUUGACCGCCUGGGGAGUACGGUCGCAAGAUUAAAACUU